rnacentral:lncRNA from 1 species
GAUCAUGUCAGACAACUUUAUUACAGGAUCAAAUCAGGGGGGGGACCAAUUGUAUAUACUACUAUUUCUACCUCAGCUAUCAGUUCCAUUCAUCCGGUCAUUUUUUACUUCUAUACCUCAACUAUAUCAUUUCUACCUCAACUAAGAAUUUGAAUCCUCUUAUGUGAGGUGUCCUUGCAUACUCAUCAGAUGACUGGGUAAUGCAAUGUCCUCACAUUAGAGGACCGAAAAUACUGUUGUUGGAUAUGCAUGCUGCUUAUGUAUUUGAAUUUUAAAAAUAUCAUGUAUUAUUUUUUAUUAGCGAUACGAAGUACUAAUUGUGGUGUUAAAC